GUGUUUCAUUGGAAGGACCUUGUAGAGCAUGUCCCCAGGAGCUGCCUUCCUAGCGGACUGGAGACUGGGUGUCCUCCAGGAGGGGCCACCGAUCAAUUUGAUUUGAGGACUACCCUUCAUGAUCUCAUUUUGCUUUAUAUCGCUGAGAUGAUCCAUUGUCCAGGUAAGUUCCCAUUUCCAGGUUCCGGGAGUGGGAGCCUGCCUGCAAAUUGUAUUUGGAGGAGGACAGGGGAAGUCACUACAGGUUAUGUAUCAGUUGGAGUCCUGAGUGAGAGUCACUGGAGCCAUCUACUGAAAGGCUGCAAAUAGAGUAUCCAUGGGAUAAACAAUUAUUUUUAAGACAGGCCGUUUAUAUGGAAUGCUUUGAACUUGAACCCAGGGCCUCUAGACUUACGCAGUUUUUGGUCCCAGGAGUAACUGGCUUGUUGGUUGAUCAUAAGCUUUGCAUGCUAGCCUUACUCUUUCAAGGUUUUUAUUAGUCUUUUCUUUUUUUUUCUUUUUAAAAAAGUCCAUUUUAAUUGGAGAUUUUGACAUUGACAUUAUUCGGGUUGGGAAGAGCCUGAGGCAACAUAAAGUAAUUGUCUUUUAUCAGAAGAGUUCAGGAGGACACUGGGUGAUCUCCAUCAACUCUGAAAACACGGAGUCCUUCCUGAAAUACCUUCACAGUGAAAAG
rnacentral:lncRNA from 1 species